rnacentral:tRNA from 1 species
AAUUAUAAUUAGGCGUUAGCCGUUACUUUGGAAGUUUUUCAGGUUGUUAUCUUGAGUUUG